UACGGGGGGAGCAAGCGUUGUUCGGAUUUACUGGGCGUAAAGGGCGCGUAGGCGGCGCAACAAGUCACUUGUGAAAUCUCCGGGCUUAACUCGGAGCGGUCAAGUGAUACUGUCGUGCUAGAGUGCGGAAGGGGCUACUGGAAUUCUCGGUGUAGCGGUGAAAUGCGUAGAUAUCGAGAGGAACACCUGCGGCGAAGGCGGGUAGCUGGGCCGACACUGACGCUGAUGCGCGAAAGCCAGGGAGCGAACGGG
rnacentral:rRNA from 1 species